rnacentral:lncRNA from 1 species
GUGCAUCCUAUAGAUAUUAUAUAUAUGUAUGUAUGGAAGAUUUAAAUAUGUGUUACUAUGUUAUGAUAAUAGGAGUUAAAAUACUGUUUUUUAUAUAUGAUUUCCAGAUAUUUUUGGGAGAGAAAAUAACAACAGAAUAUAAAUGUAUGUCACUAUAUAUAUAUUUUUUUUAUUUUUUAUUUUGAGUACAUGUAUGAAUAGAAUAAUUAGGUUGCAUUAAUAAUAAUUAUAAUCGUUUAAUAUCAAUUUAAUCGGAUAUGAAUAUAAGUCAAUGAUUUUUUUAUAUUUAUUUUAUUUAUUUUUUGUUUGUUUGUUUUUUGUACUUUUUGUACUUUUUGUUUUUUUGUUUUUUGUUUUUUUUUUGUUUUUUUUGUUUUUUUGUAUGGGGAGGGGGAUGUUCAUAUAAGCACUGACACUGACAGGUCAAAAUGAAUAAACAUGUUUUGUAUUUUUCUUUGAUAAAAUACAUAUAAAUAUUGUAUGAGGUGAAGAAAUACAAAAUAAAGAAUUAUAAAAAAAAAAGUUCAUUAUAGAUAGAGAUAAUUGUAAGUAGCAAGACUGUUUAGUAAAGUAAGAUGUACAAACACAUCACCAUCACCAA